GAAUAUAGGAGGCAGGGGUCGUGGGUGCUCGGCUGGGGCAAAAACUAACCAGUCACACUAAACGGAGGGACAUCACGGCUUGAGUAGGGGACGCACAAUAGUAACUUAUAAGUCUGACGCUCGACAAAUAAAAUGGACGGCUAGCGGAAUAAGGCCUUAUUGGGGUAGCGAUCUUAGGUAAAAUAACAAAUGCUCAUUUACGUUAGAGGCGGUAAAUAGUACUUGCGUAGUUCCCUUUUGGCUUUAUGAAAUUUAGUACCAAACACUCAAAUCGCUCAGCACCUACCCGGUAUAUAACAAGUUGCCGUAUUAGUAGUGCUAAUAAACUUUAAAGUAGUCACAAUGUAUUCAUUUGGCAAGUGAAAAAUUAAACAAGCAUGAAGUGCUACGCUAAUUAAGUUUGGUUUAUUAUAAAUAGAUUAAGUUAACAGUCGAAAGGAUGAUUAGGUACACCUGCAGCGGUGCAGCUAUGGAUUCCUAAACUGAUUUAAGGGUGAUCGCCUUGCCCACAAUCUUAAUGCUGGUAUAGACCCGACAUGCUUCACGACAGGAGCGGUAGGUAAGUAAAAUUAGUCUGACCUUGCUUUUGAUCUAAUUCAAACUGGUGGAAUUACGGAUGUCCAAAAAGGUGGUUGAAGCCAGGGUUUUUCCACAGGACUCUUAUCAGAUUGGGUCUCCACUAGUCGCUAUCAGAUUGGGCUCGUUAGAUAAUACCAGAGAAUAGGAAAGCGGCCUAUGGAUUAAUGGGUCUUAAUAAAAAGUGAUCGGAGAUUGUACUCACCAGUGGUAUAAAGUUUAAAUUUAAAACAAUUAUAUUCAGCUCAACAACUGACCACCAGCCUCGCCUUAUA